rnacentral:tRNA from 1 species
UGCCCCGUAGUGUAAUUGGUAACACGACUGACUCUGGAUCAGUUAUUUGUGGUUCGAGUCCACACGGGGCAGCCA